CGAACGGGUGAGUAGCACGUGGGUGAUCUGCCCUGCACUUCGGGAUAAGCUUGGGAAACUGGGUCUAAUACCGGAUAGGACUACGGACUGCAUGGUCUGUGGUGGAAAGCUUUUGCGGUGUGGGAUGGGCCCGCGGCCUAUCAGCUUGUUGGUGGGGUGAUGGCCUACCAAGGCGACGACGGGUAGCCGGCCUGAGAGGGUGUCCGGCCACACUGGGACUGAAACACGGUCCAG
rnacentral:rRNA from 1 species